GCCAGUAUGGCAUAGUGGUUUGAGAGUUGGACUUUGACUCUGGAGACCUGGGUUUGAUUCUCAGUUCAGCCA